rnacentral:rRNA from 1 species
AUUGAACGCUGGCGGCAGGCCUAACACAUGCAAGUCGAGCGGAUGAAGGGAGCUUGCUCCUGGAUUCAGCGGCGGACGGGUGAGUAAUGCCUAGGAAUCUGCCUGGUAGUGGGGGAUAACGUCCGGAAACGGGCGCUAAUACCGCAUACGUCCUGAGGGAGAAAGUGGGGGAUCUUCGGACCUCACGCUAUCAGAUGAGCCUAGGUCGGAUUAGCUAGUUGGUGGGGUAAAGGCCUACCAAGGCGACGAUCCGUAACUGGUCUGAGAGGAUGAUCAGUCACACUGGAACUGAGACACGGUCCAGACUCCUACGGGAGGCAGCAGUGGGGAAUAUUGGACAAUGGGCGAAAACCUGAUCCAGCCAUGCCGCGUGUGUGAAGAAGGUCUUCGGAUUGUAAAGCACUUUAAGUUGGGAGGAAGGGCAGUAAGUUAAUACCUUGCUGUUUUGACGUUACCAACAGAAUAAGCACCGGCUAACUUCGUG